rnacentral:rRNA from 1 species
CAGGCCUAACACAUGCAAGUCGAACGAGAUCUUUCGGGGUCUAGUGGCGCACGGGUGCGUAACGCGUGGGAAUCUGCCCUUGGGUUCGGAAUAACAGCGAGAAAUUGCUGCUAAUACCGGAUAAUGACGUAAGUCCAAAGAUUUAUCGCCCAGGGAUGAGCCCGCGUAGGAUUAGCUAGUUGGUGGGGUAAAGGCCUACCAAGGCGACGAUCCUUAGCUGGUCUGAGAGGAUGAUCAGCCACACUGGGACUGAGACACGGCCCAGACUCCUACGGGAGGCAGCAGUGGGGAAUAUUGGACAAUGGGCGAAAGCCUGAUCCAGCAAUGCCGCGUGAGUGAUGAAGGCCCUAGGGUUGUAAAGCUCUUUUACCCGGGAUGAUAAUGACAGUACCGGGAGAAUAAGCUCCGGCUAACUCCGUGCCAGCAGCCGCGGUAAU